rnacentral:rRNA from 1 species
GACGAACGCUGGCGGCGUGCUUAACACAUGCAAGUCGAACGGAAAGGCCCUGCUUGCAGGGUACUCGAGUGGCGAACGGGUGAGUAACACGUGGGUGAUCUGCCCUGCACUUCGGGAUAAGCCUGGGAAACUGGGUCUAAUACCGGAUAGGAGCCAUUUUUAGUGUAUGGGUGGAAAGGUUUUUCGGUGUAGGAUGAGCUCGCGGCCUAUCAGCUUGUUGGUGGGGUAAUGGCCUACCAAGGCGGCGACGGGUAGCCGGCCUGAGAGGGUGGACGGCCACAUUGGGACUGAGAUACGGCCCAGACUCCUACGGGAGGCAGCAGUGGGGAAUAUUGCACAAUGGGCGCAAGCCUGAUGCAGCGACGCCGCGUGGGGGAUGACGGCCUUCGGGUUGUAAACUCCUUUCGCUAGGGACGAAGCUUUUGUGACGGUACCUAGAUAAGAAGCACCGGCUAACUACGUG